CCUACGGGGGGCAGCAGUGAGGAAUAUUGGUCAAUGGCCGCAGGGCUGAACCAGCCAAGUCGCGUGAGGGAUGACGGUCCUAUGGAUUGUAAACCUCUUUUGUCAGGGAGCAAAGGGCGUCACGUGUGGCGCUUUGCGUGUACUUGACGAAAAAGCAUCGGCUAACUCCGUGCCAGCUGCAGCGGUAAAACGGAGGGUGCGAGCGUAAUCCGGAUUUAUUGGGUUUAAAGGGUGCGCAGGCGGAAUGUCAAGUCAGCGGUAAAAUCUCGGGGCUCAACCCCGUCGUGCCGUUGAAACUGGGGAUCUAGAGUGAGCGAGAGGUAUGCGGAAUGCGUGGUGUAGCGGUGAAAUGCAUAGAUAUCACGCAGAACUCCGAUUGCGAAGGCAGCAUACCGGCGCACAACUGACGCUCAGGCACGAAAGCGUGGGUAUCGAACAGGAUUAGAUACCCUGGUAGUC
rnacentral:rRNA from 1 species